UNGUGCUGUUCUUUAUUGCCUCAAUUUCA
rnacentral:piRNA from 1 species